UAUGGUACAGCAAAGGCCGAACAGCUACCAGGAGGCAACCUGAACGUGUCAGGGCCUGGGCACGACACUUGCCUUUCUUGGAGGAGUGAUUUGAAGCCAUAGUGGAAAACUGGGCCUCUAUAAAAAACGAACGAGGACACUCUUAAUGGACAGAUACAAAACAAGCCCCAGGAGAAAGGUGUAUCAGCCAUUUUAAAUCUGCCCUCAAAAGCACAGAACAAAUCAGAUGGCAUUUUGCUCAUAGAGGAGAGGGUCUGUGAGAACCAAAUUCCAGCUUCAGCACAUGACCUUGGGUACAGAUGGAGGAAGCUAUUUGACCUGCAUCAGACUUUACGUGAACAAAAG
rnacentral:sRNA from 1 species